ensembl:lncRNA
AUGUGUUUGCAGGGGGCAGAGAAAAAGGACAGAGAGGCUCAGGAUCCCCAGAGCCUGAUCAUCCUAGGAAUUUCCACAAGAUCAGUUCACAGACAGCGAGAGGUCCUGGAUGGAGGACAGAGCCUGACAGUGCUGCUCUGCAGGAUAGGGACCACCUGGACCAUGGACAGGAUAUGGACCACUGGCAGGCUGGUGGAUAGAAGCUGCUCCCCGCAUGGCUACGAUGGACACAGGAGCUCCAUCUCUGUGCCAAGAACACCUCGUUCCCCCUUCCUGCAACCCCACUACAUUCAAAUCCCUAUUUCAGUAUGGGCCCUUUUGCUGCGGAUGGUGUUGCUGGUGAUUUCCCAAGGAGAACGUGCAGUCAGGUUGGACCAACACCUUGAUCUUCAUACAGAUGAAAAGAAACAGACUGAAUCUCACCCGUGCAUUUUCCACAUGGCUUUUGACUGAUGAGGCACUGACAGCUCUGGGAUGGGAGGUCUGUCAUUAGCACUGAGCGUUUCCGCAGGUGCCCUGAGGGAUCGGGGCCAUAGGCCUGAUGCUGUGCAAUAUUUCCUCCAAUGAUCUGGAAAUGGAUGUAAGCGUUCAUACAUUUUUCUGGAAAGAUUAGGCAAAUAACGAUGAGGGCCAGGAAUGGAGAGCGUUCAGGAGUGCUUUCUGAAAGCAUUAAAAGCCAUUAAAACCAAUGUGCUUGCUGUGGUUAAAGUUGGAGAUGGAGGAACAAAGAGUGCAGGCAAUUCCUGAGAGUGAAAUAUGAGGGGAUGGGAGGGGAAGCAUUUAUCAGUCUGGGUAAAUUAGAAAUCAAAGAUUGCAGAGAAAUUGGUGAAAGAAGAGAAAGAAUAGUGGAUGGCAUCCACGGGUAGUGGUGUUAAGGAGAAGUGAUUUCAUUUAGUAUUAAAAAAAAAAGUAGUGGGUUUGAUCUCUUCCUCUUUUUAAUGGUGUUAUUCAGAAACCAGAGGCAUUCACUCAGUAUUUGUGUCCUGCAUUUAGGAAAGGUCAGGUGGCAUAUUCCUGUUCUGCAAUGUUAAUACUGUAAACUUCCUUGCAAGCACUGCAAACAUGUUGACAACCCAUGGGAAGGAUCAUAGAAUCACUGAGGAUGGAAAAGACCUCUAAGAACAUCAAAUCUAAGGUCCAUAUUUUUGGUAGAUGUAGCACUUCUGAAGACCUGCUGCCUCAGCAUUGGGUAGAGGACAAUGUAUGUGUACACAUAUGUGUAUUUUUUUCCAUCACUGUGGUUAACUCCAGAUGGGAGGAUUUAAUUCUGCCCCAACUGUCGCUCUUGAAGCAGCAUCAACACGGGGUGAUCUCCUGACCUGGUCAAGCUAAAGAAUCACAAAGGCCCUAAAAUCUAUGAAUAAGAGCAAUUCUUUCAGAGUCAGUGCCCCUGUUUUAUAGCAAUCUGGUCAGGGGCCCUAAAUGGGCAACAAGGUAAUUUCCAUACAGUUUAAGUACAUCCUAUCUGGAGCCUCAGCAUGAGGGGAUAUUUGACCUGGAGUGGUUUUGUGAAGCUAUGUAACAUUUGCAGACAGGAUCAUUGGGGUCUGGUGUGCUGGGCCAGAGAGCACUGAUACUUCAGAGAAAGGAUGAAAAAAAGAAAAGCAACUCUUUCCUUAAUGAAUCUAGCAGUUAUUCACAUGGGGACGGUGGGUGGGGGUAGAAAUCAGCUCCCUGACCAUUGCAGGUGAUCGACUCGAGAGGUGUGAUUACCUCUCCUGUAUUCUUAUGCAGCCUACAAACAUUUAUUAAUGGUCAUAAAAUCUCCCCGCCUGUUUUUUAAAUCCACCCAACAAUGUAUGACUUGACCAUCAUAAACUCUGCCUUGAAACCACCACAAAAGGUUUGAAUUACUCCUGGUGGCAAUAAAAGCAUUCUUUUGACUAACGCUUUGCUUUAU